GAAAACAGAGCUCAAGACAUACUAGAAGAGAAAAGUGUAAAGUGAUCAGGGAGGCAAGAAGAAAAUUAAGAGAAAUACAUUUUUAUUUUUUUUAAUUAAAAACAUUUUUGACGUGGAGUCUUGCUCUCUCGCCCAGGCUGGAGUGCAGUGGCGCGAUCUCCGAUGACUGCAACCUCCCUCUCUCGGGAUCAAGCGAUUUGCCUGCCUCACCCUCAGAGUAGCUGAGAUUACAGGCGUGCAGCACCACAUCCGGCUAAUUUUUAGUAGAGACGGGGGUUUCACCAUGUUGGGCACGCUGGUCUCGAACUCCUGACCUCAAAUGAUCCACCCGCCUCGGCCUCCCAAAGUGCUGGGAUUACAGGCGUGAGCCACCGCGCCUGGAUCCUUCUUUCGCUCUUCCCGUCUCUGCGAAUCCCGACCCAUCCUCUACUUUGCCAUGUGUUUAUGGGUUUCCUUCAUUCUUUCCUCUCAGUUUUUGUAAUUCACUCUCAGCCCCUCUCUGUUUCCUGAUCCCUUUGGCCCACACAUUCACAGGAGGGUUUGGAGUAAGACACCUGGAUCCUGGAGGAGCACAUUUUCCAGCGGGUGGAGCUGGGCAGGCAAGAACACCGGGUGUCACAGGACAGGCCCCGGGCACCUCCCCAACGCGGGCGCAGGGGAAGCGGUGACUGCGAAGGGGAGGCCUGGGGAGCAGCAGGGCCCGGCACGAGGAGGAGGGAGGUGGGGGGCGACGGCGCCUUAGGACAGGGUAGGGUCUGCAGGAGCCUAGGACCAGGCGGAGGACGCGGUCUGCGGCGCUGCGCUCCAGGGCCGACGACGGAGAGGCUGGGAGGCGCUCAGGACGGGAAUCCACCUCGCAGGUUGGACCCGAUCCUGCUAGGGAGUCUCCUGCAGCUCAGCGGUCUGGGAACUGCGAAUUCGGUGGGGGGAGGGGGGUCCAGGAGGAGCAGUGAGUGAUUGGAUCCAGGAAAGUUCCUGCAAUUCAAAUUAAUUGGAGUAACUUACUUUAAAAGCCCUGAAAUUAUCUGUGAAGGGGUUGCAAACUAGACUGUGAAAUGCAAAACUGCCCGGAACAAAUGUGAUACGUAAUGCUAUUGCCCAAAGGAUCCUCCUUUCCAUUUCUAUCCCAUACCUAUCUCAGGGGAAGAGUCAAGUCUGUGCUUCCAGAGACUUUUAUAGGACAACACCUGGACCGUGGGCUGUGGACCGUGGAAGGCUAAAACCCGCAGUAAGCCAGAUCACCAACUGCUGCUUUAAAACACGCAAUAACUUUUAAAAAAAAAUAGAUAUGAAUUGUAUUGUUCUUCCUUAUACUUGUUAUUCGGUUCCACGGUUGACAAAACCUCAAAUAACUUUGAGAUAAACUUUUUUUUUUUUUUUUUGAGAUGGAGUCUCGCUCUGUCCCCCAGGCUCCUGGAAUACAAUGGCGCGAUCUCGGUUCACUGCAACCUCUGCCUCCCAAGCUCAAGCGAUUCUCCUGCCUCAGCCUCUGGACUAGCUGGGAUUACAGGCGCGUGCCACCACGCC
rnacentral:lncRNA from 10 species